CCAACUUUCACCUUGAACCCGGAACAGAAAACCCUUGUAACAAUAAAAAAAAAAUACUUGAUCAUCUUCAUUAAAAUUAGUAUAUGGGAAAAAAAUUUAAAUUGUGAAAGAGAAAAAAGAUAAAGGAAAAGUUAAUAUACCUGUAUGUUGAAAAAGUUGCAAGAAUGAAUGGGGAAAAAUCAAUUGAGUAUUGAAGAGUCUUGAAUGGUGUGUUCAGUUCUGAGAGUGUUGUGAAGAAUAGAGAGAAAGUGGGGUUUUUGGUUUUACCCUUUGGUUUGCAGAAUCAGCAGAAAUAAUGGCAGAGAGAGAGAGAGAGAGAGUUGGAAUGACGAAAAAAGACACGCUUUGAAAGCUGUCCGAACGAACCUAACUUGUGUUGCGUUUGGCUUUGGAAAUUUAAAACGUCUCGAG
rnacentral:lncRNA from 1 species